UACAGAGGUCUCAAGCGUUGUUCGGAUUCAUUGGGCGUAAAGGGUGCGUAGGCGGCGCGGUAAGUCGGGUGUGAAAUCUUGGAGCUUAACUCCGAAACUGCAUUCGAUACUGCCGUGCUUGAGGACUGGAGAGGAGACUGGAAUUUACGGUGUAGCGGUGAAAUGCGUAGAUAUCGUAAGGAAGACCAGUGGCGAAGGCGGGUCUCUGGACAGUUCCUGACGCUGAGGCACGAAGGCCAUGGGAGCAAACGGG
rnacentral:rRNA from 1 species